AAUAAUGUUGUGACAAGUGUUCAAACAAGUGAUGUCGACACCGAUGACUUCCCGAUUAAGAUAGGACUGCAUCAGGGGUCAGCUUUGAGCCCUUAUCGUUUUGCAUUGGUGAUGGAUGAGGUCACAAGGGGUAUACAAGGAGAUAUCCCAUGGUGUAUGCUCUUUGCGGAUGAUAUGGUGCUAGUUGACGAUAGUCGGACGGGGGUAAAUAGGAAGUUAGAGUUAUGGAGACAAACCUUGGAAUCGAAAGGGUUUAGGCUUAGUAGAACUAAAACCGAGUACAUGAUGUGUGGUUUCAGUACUACUAGGUGUGAGGAGGAGGAGGUUAGCCUUGAUGACUAG
rnacentral:rRNA from 1 species